rnacentral:rRNA from 1 species
GACGAACGCUGGCGGCGUGCCUAAUACAUGCAAGUAGAACGCAGUUGCGAACGGGUGAGUAACGUGUAGGUAACUGCCUCAUAGCGGGGGAUAACUAUUGGAAACGAUAGCUAAUACCGCAUACUGGGAGAUGGACCUGCGUUGUAUUGGCUAGUUGGUGAGGUAAAGGCUCACCAAGGCGGCGAUACAUAGCCGACCUGGGAGGGUGGACGGGCACACUGGGACUGGAGCACGGCCCAGACUCCUUCCGUGGGGAGCAGUAGGGAAUUUUCGGCAAUGGACGGAAGUCUGACCGAGCAAAGCCGGUGGAGUGAAAGAAGUUUUCGGAUCGUAAAACUCUGUUGUUAGAGGAGCGGUAACUAACCAGAAAGGGACGGCUAACUACGUGCCAGCAGCCGCGGUAAUAC